rnacentral:lncRNA from 1 species
GCUGAUCCAUUUGCUAAGAAGGAUUGGUAUGAUAUCAAGGCUCCAUCAGUUUUUACUACCAGAAAUGUUGGGAAGACUCUUGUUACCCGUACUCAGGGUACCAAGGUACGUUUUCUUCUUUUAACUUUGUUAUUUACUUUCACUGUUUUGAAAAUGAUUGCUUUGUAUUGUAUAUAAGCUUCUUGGAUAUUUUGAACAUGAGUGAAAAUUUUGUUUCAUUCAGACUCUCCGCGCAUUGUAUACUUGUUCUAGUGUUAUGACAUUUCUAUCUUUCCUGGAAAUGAUGAUAGCGGAGUUUAAUGUUAUGUUGAUCGUUCCUGCUAUUUGAUGUUUUGCUAUGUUGUUAAUUAAAUGAGGAAUUCCAUCUUUGAGCUGAGGGUUAUGUAGUAGGUAAUGGUUGUUAAGCUGAAAUGUUGAAUAGUCAUUUCUUUUUCAUCUACUAAACUUAUAGAAGCCUAAUAUGUUCCAUUAUCAAGCAAAAUGGAAUUUGAACACUUGGGAGUUCUAACUUGAAAUGUGUUUUUUUACUGACAGAUUGCUUCAGAAGGACUCAAGCACCGUGUGUUUGAGGUCUCACUGGCUGAUCUUCAAGGAGGUGAUGAGGAUCAUGCUUACAGAAAGAUUCGUUUGAGAGCUGAAGAUGUUCAAGGAAAAAAUGUUUUGACCAACUUUUGGGUAUGAUAAAUAUAAUUUAUCUUUGGUUACUUCAUUUUUUCAUUGUUGUUUCUGUUCAUAAAUUAACCAAGUUGCUUUAUUUCCCAUUUUGAAUAUCCAGGGAAUGAAUUUUACAACUGACAAACUGAGGUCAUUGGUGCGUAAAUGGCAAACUUUGAUUGAAGCUCAUGUGGACGUAAAGACAACUGACAGUUACACUUUGAGAAUGUUCUGCAUCGGGUUCACUAAGAGACGACCAAACCAGGUUAAAAGGACUUGUUAUGCACAGUCCAGCCAGAUUAGACAGGUUCUGUCCUGUUCUCUGAUAAAUAUUUAAAUUUGCAACAGAAUUUUUUUACUCAUAUAUCUUUAUACCCAUUGAAACUUCAGCGAUCAGUUGUUUAUAAUGUAUUUAUGCUUUCUUUGAUUGAUCAAUUCCACGAUGACUCUAGUGAAGUUGCUUUGUUUUUCAGAUACGCCAAAAAAUGAGAGAGAUAAUGACUGCUCAGGCAACAUCCUGUGAUUUGAAGGAAUUGGUUCAAAAGUUCAUUCCUGAGAUGAUUGGAAAAGAAAUUGAAAAGGCAACAUCUAGCAUCUAUCCUUUGCAGAAUGUUUUCAUUCGCAAAGUCAAAAUCUUGAAGGCUCCCAAGUUUGAUCUUGGAAAGUUGAUGG